UCGGGAAUUUUGGGCAAUGGGCGAAAGCCUGACCCAGCAACGCCGCGUGAAGGAUGAAGUAUUUCGGUAUGUAAACUUCGAAAGAAUAGGAAGAAUAAAUGACGGUACUAUUUAUAAGGUCCGGCUAACUACGUGCCAGCAGCCGCGGUAAUACGUAGGGACCAAGCGUUGUUCGGAUUUACUGGGCGUAAAGGGCGCGUAGGCGGUGCGGUAAGUCACUUGUGAAAUCUCCGAGCUUAACUCGGAACGGCCAAGUGAUACUGCAGUACUAGAGUGCGGAAGGGGCAAUCGGAAUUCUUGGUGUAGCGGUGAAAUGCGUAGAUAUCAAGAGGAACACCUGAGGUGAAGACGGGUUGCUGGGCUGAUACUGACGCUGAAGCGCGAAAGCUAGGGUAGCAAACGGGAUUAGAUACCCGCGUAGUCCCUGAGCGGGCUGGCAAGGCGCAU
rnacentral:rRNA from 1 species